rnacentral:rRNA from 1 species
ACGAACGCUGGCGGCGUGCUUAACACAUGCAAGUCGAACGGGUCUGCCCUGUUUUUUGCGGGGUGGGUCAGUGGCGAACGGGUGAGUAACACGUGAGUAACCUGCCCCUCACUUCUGGAUAACCGCUUGAAAGGGUGGCUAAUACGGGGUGUUCUGGCUGUGCCGCAUGGUGUGGCUGGGAAAGAUUCACUUUUGUGGUGUUUUGGUGGGGGAUGGGCUCGCGGCCUAUCAGCUUGUUGGUGGGGUGAUGGCCUGCCAAGGCUUUGACGGGUAGCCGGCCUGGGAGGGUGGGCGGUCACACUGGGACUGAGAUACGGCCCAGACUCCUGCGGGAGGCAGCAGUGGGGGGUAUUGCACAAUGGGCGGAAGCCUGAUGCAGCGACGUCGCGUGAGGGAUGGAGGCCUUCGGGUUGUGAACCUCUUUCGCCGGUGAAGAAGGUCCUGCUCUUUGUGGUGGGGUUGACGGUAGCCGGGUUAUGAAGCGCCGGCUAACUACGUG